UAAAAAUAUUUCCUCAUUACAUUUUUAGCCCGAAAAAUAAAAUACAGAAAUAAAUCAAUCAAAAGAAAAAGGAUGCCAGAGAAAACGCCCACACGAAAUCUUCUUAGGUUUUCGUUCAAAUGAAGGCUCUCAAUUUUCUUCUCCUCACCACAUCGGAACCGACGUCGGCAAUCUCCAAAGUCCUAAGUCUCUCCAAAUCCAGCCUCUCAAUAAUUCAAUUCUGUUGCAGCCCUUACCGCUGAAUACGAAGCAGAGGCUUUCGCAGUUUAAUUUGCCACAUUCAUUGGCUGCUGGAGUGGCUGCAAUAAUCCACCAACUCCAAAACCAAAUCCGAACCCGAACCCAAAUCCUAACCCUAGCCCAUCAAAGGGACACUGCCCAAGAGAUGCCCUAAAACUAGGUGUCUGUGCCAAGGUGCUGAACGGACCCGUCGGAGCCGUCAUCGGAACCCCACCGGGCAUGCCUUGUUGUUCCGUACUAGGUGGACUUUUGGAUCUUGAAGCUGCAGUUUGCCUUUGCACUGCACUGAAAGCCAACAUUCUUGGAAUCAACAUUGAUAUUCCCAUUGCACUAAGCUUGCUUAUUAAUACUUGUGGGAAAAGUCUACCAUCUGACUUCACUUGUGCCUAAGCUAUAAUGCUUCUCUUUUGAGUCGCCACGAAUAAGUUUUAGUGACAGGACUAUUCUUAACGACCAUUUGGUUUUGCACGAAAAAUAUUUUGUGAUGACUUCUUCAUUUUCUGUGGUGAUUAAAGUCCCAUUGCUUGUAUGUUUGAUGAAUUAUUUCCCUUUGUUGUUUUAGCAUUAGAGGAAUUUGUUUUUCUAUUUUAGUUUGUUGAAGUUCAUGUUCUAUUUUAGUUCUUUGUUGUUAGGACUUAGGAAUGAGCACUUGAUAAUUCGUACGAAGGGAUUGUUCUUCCAUCUCCUUUGUAAUUCACUAGUGCUUCCUUUAUUGACUUGAUGAAUUUCUGAUUCACAAGUGGCUUCUAAGUUCUUUAA